rnacentral:rRNA from 1 species
UGGGGAAUAUUGGGCAAUGGGCGCAAGCCUGACCCAGCAACGCCGCGUGAGGGAAGAAGGCUUUCGGGUUGUAAACCUCUGUCCUUGGUGACGAAAAAAAUGGCGGUAGCCAAGGAGGAAGCCCCGGCUAACUACGUGCCAGCAGCCGCGGUAAUACGUAGGGGGCGAGCGUUGUCCGGAAUUACUGGGCGUAAAGGGUGCGUAGGUGGCCUUUUAAGUUGGAUGUGAAAUACCCGGGCUUAACUUGGGGGGUGCAUCUAAUACUGGAGGGCUAGAGUGCAGGAGAGGAAAGCGGAAUUCCUAGUGUAGCGGUGAAAUGCGUAGAUAUUAGGAGGAACACCAGUGGCGAAGGCGGCUUUCUGGACUGUAACUGACUCUGAGUCACGAAAGCGUGGAGAGCAAACA